rnacentral:rRNA from 1 species
UCGAGCGGAACGAAGGAGCUUGCUCCAGGCGUCGAGCGGCGGACGGGUGAGUAAUGCAUAGGAAUCUGCCCGAUAGUGGGGGAUAACCUGGGGAAACCCAGGCUAAUACCGCAUACGUCCUACGGGAGAAAGCAGGGGAUCUUCGGACCUUGCGCUAUCGGAUGAGCCUAUGUCGGAUUAGCUUGUUGGUGAGGUAAUGGCUCACCAAGGCGACGAUCCGUAGCUGGUCUGAGAGGAUGAUCAGCCACAUCGGGACUGAGACACGGCCCGAACUCCUACGGGAGGCAGCAGUGGGGAAUAUUGGACAAUGGGCGAAAGCCUGAUCCAGCCAUGCCGCGUGUGUGAAGAAGGCUUUCGGGUUGUAAAGCACUUUCAGUGAGGAAGAACGCCUCGGGGCCAAUACCCCCGAGGAAGGACAUCACUCACAGAAGAAGCACCGGCUAACUCCGUGCCAGCAGCCGCGGUAAUACGGAGGGUGCAAGCGUUAAUCGGAAUUACUGGGCGUAAAGCGCGCGUAGGUGGCUUGAUAAGCCGGUUGUGAAAGCCCCGGGCUCAACCUGGGAACGGCAUCCGGAACUGUCAGGCUAGAGUGCAGGAGAGGAAGGUAGAAUUCCCGGUGUAGCGGUGAAAUGCGUAGAGAUCGGGAGGAAUACCAGUGGCGAAGGCGGCCUUCUGGACUGACACUGACACUGAGGUGCGAAAGCGUGGGUAGCAAACAGGAUUAGAUACCCUGGUAGUCCACGCCGUAAACGAUGUCGACUAGCCGUUGGGGUCC